AUCGGUAUGAAGCAUCUUUGACUUUUGUUAUUGAGAGGACAUUCAAAGUUUUAAUUUUUUUUUUGUGAGUUCCCAGUGUACAAUAUAUAUGUUCAGAAAAGAAUGGUAACAACAAUAAAAUCACAUAAUUUUAUUAGAAUGGUACCUCUAGUUUUACCUUUUUUGUUUUAGAUCUUUAAUUUACAUUCUUUGUAUUUUGACAUUCAGUUAAAUAUGAUAAUCUGAUAUAUUAAUUUACCUAAUGUAUGAUAUGUAUGUUGAGAAAAAAUGGUACCAGCAACAAUAAAAUCACAUAAUUUAAUCAGAAUGGUACCUCAAGUUUUAUCUUCUUCUUUUUUUUUUUGUUUUAGAUCUUUAAUUUACAUUCUUUAUAUUUUGACAUUCAGUUAAAUAUGAUAAUUUGAUAUAUUAAUUUGAUUAGAUGAAUUUGUACUUGAUCUGUAUUUGUUCGGGAUGAUAUGUAUUACUAUUUGUUUGAUAUGCAUCAAUUUACGAACCUCUUUAUCUAAGUUACAGAUACAUCAUAUAUCACUAAAGAAACAAUUACAUCCAGAGUCAGUUUUCAUCUUUUAAUAUCAUAAUAGGACACAUUAUGCUACUCAGACACUUUGUCCAAGCUUUCAACACAAAGGGAAACAUGAACUUCCAAUUUUACCCUUCUUCCUCUCAGCAAUUAAGAAAAAAAAACAUAUGUUUUCUCUACGUUACUCAGAAAGAAAACCACACCUCUUCUACUCAUCGGCCGCCAACCACUACUCCCACUUCUCCUCUUCCGUCUUCUGUUCCUCCUCCUCCUCCUCAGCCGUAUUCUCCAGCACCUAUUACUCCUCCUGAAUCCCUUACUCGAAACUCUCCAACUUCAAUCUCAGAACCACCGUCGAAUCCGUUGAGAAGCAGCGGAGGAAGAUCUCCUCGGACUCCAUCUUCGUCGUCUCCUUCUUCAGAUGGGUUAUCAACAGGGGUUGUGUUUUGUAAAGCCAUCUGAGGAGUCAUUUUCUUGUGAUAGUGACUCUGGUUUGUCUUCCUUGUAAGAAGAAUCGAAGAAGAUGCUUACUAUGCUCCUCCCCACCUCUUCCGAAUUCCAAAGUAUUUCUCUAGCAGAUGUUGGGAUUAUGAUGUACGACCUUAUCACAGUAGUUUGAGUAGUAUGUUUAUGUUACAACAGCUACAUCAAUUCCUCUGAAUUAUCUCUUAAGCUUAAUAGCGUUUAAUGAAGAAAGCAACAUAUACAUGGUAAUAAAGAAGAGUGCAAUAUAAGCCUCCAUCUUCACCAUCACACAAGCCUCCACCUCCACCACCGCUUUUCAUGAGCAGCAGCGGAACUACUAUGAUCGUCCAGUUGACCAAAAAGAAAGAAAGUAGAAACCUGCAACAAAAAUGUAUUGUAUGUAUAUACACCAAAAAAAAUAUAGUUUUGUACAUGUGUACACCAACAAAAACAAUUGUACAUAAUAAUGAUUGUACACAUGUACAAACAUAUACCUUGAGAAUAUGAAUGGAUAUUUCUGGUCGCUAAGAUAGUAGUGUAAACUUCAAAGUGAUAUAAAUGGCAUAGGAGUUUUUUGUUUGUAA